rnacentral:rRNA from 1 species
GCCGCUCGUGACUCUGCGAGAAGUCCAUUGAACCUUAUCAUUUAGAGGAAGGAGAAGUCGUAACAAGGUUUCCGUAGGUGAACCUGCGGAAGGAUCAUUG